UACAGGGGAUGCGAGUGUUAUCCGGAAUUAUUGGGCGUAAAGGGUCUGUAGAUUGAAUUAUAAGUCUUUUGUUAAAUAUAUAAGCUUAACUUAUACACUGCAAAAGAAACUAUUGUUCUCGAGUUUGAUAGAGGUAAAGGGAAUUUUCAGAGAAGCGGUGAAAUGCGUAGAUAUUGAAAAGAACACCAAAGGCGAAGGCACUUUACUGGGUCAAUACUGACAUUGAGAGACGAAAGCUAGGGUAGC
rnacentral:rRNA from 1 species